UCCCUAGUGGCUCAGACGGUAAAGCAUCUGCCUGGAAGGCAGGAGACCCAGGUUCAAUCCCUGGGUCAGGAA
rnacentral:tRNA from 1 species